CUACGGGGUGCUGCAGUGGGGAAUAUUGGGCAAUGGGCGCAAGCCUGACCCAGCAACGCCGCGUGAGGGAAGAAGGUUUUCGGAUUGUGAACCUCUGUCCUUGGGGACGAAGAAGUGACGGUACCCAAGGAGGAAGCUCCGGCUAACUACGUGCCAGCAGCCGCGGUAAUACGUAGGGAGCAAGCGUUGUCCGGAAUUACUGGGCGUAAAGGGUGCGUAGGCGGCAUAUUAAGUCAGGUGUGAAAUACUCGGGCUCAACCCGAGGGGUGCAUUUGAAACUGAUAAGCUUGAGUGUGAGAGAGGAAAGUGGAAUUCCUAGUGUAGCGGUGGAAUGCGUAGAUAUUAGGAGGAACACCAGUGGCGAAGGCGACUUUCUGGCUCAUAACUGACGCUGAGGCACGAAAGCGUGGGGAGCAAACAGGAUUAGAUACCCGCGUAGUC
rnacentral:rRNA from 1 species